GACGAACGCUGGCGGCGUGCUUAACACAUGCAAGUCGAACGGUAAGGCCCUUCGGGGUACCCGAGUGGCGAACGGGUGAGUAACGCGGGAGUAACCUGACCUUCACUCUGGGAUAACAGUUGGAAACGGCUGCUAAUACCGCAUAUUCAGCUCCUGUCGCCUGCGGGGGGUUGGAAAGUUUUGGUGGUGGUUGAUGGGCUCGCGUCCUCUCAGCUGGUUGGGGGGGUGAUGGCCUUCCAAGGCGUCGAAGGGUAGGCGGCCUGGGAGGGCGACCGGCCACAUUGGGACUGAGAUACGGCACAAACUGCUACGGGAGGCAGCAGUGGGGAAUCUUGCACAAGGGGCGGAAGCCUGAUGCAGAAACGCCGCGGGCGGGAUAACGGCUUUCGGGUUGUAAAACGCUUUCAGCAGGGACGAAGCGCAAGUGACGGUACCUGAAGAAGAAGCACCGGCUAACUACGUG
rnacentral:rRNA from 1 species